AACGUAGGGGGCAAGCGUUAUCCGGAAUCACUGGGCGUAAAGGGCAAGCAGGCGGUCAGGAAAGUUGUGGGUGAAAGGUCUCGGCUCAACCGAGAGAGGGCCUGCAAAACUAGCUGACUAGAGGGUGACAGAGGGAAGCAGAAUUCCUGGUGUAGUGGUGGAAUGCGUAGAGAUCAGGAGGAAUGCCAGAGGCGAAAGCGGCUUCCUGGGUCACAACUGACGCUGAGGUGCGAAAGCGUGGGGAGCAAACGGG
rnacentral:rRNA from 1 species